rnacentral:lncRNA from 1 species
UGUUCAAACUGAGCUAGAGAUGCUUUCUAUAGAUUCCCUCCCUCAUGCAGUUUGUUUUUCUAGGUAAAAGGAAGAUUCAGGAUCAUUUUUCCAAAACCUGACUGUUGUUUCUGCCAACUGAUUGCUACUAUCUGCUCAUUUACUGAGCUUAGGAAUUGGCUUGCUUAAGCAUCAGGACAUAUGGAACCACCAAAUUCCCAGAAGAACCCCCACAGCUCCCAGCCAGCCUCAGAAUCCUCAAGGAGUAAGGUUGGGAACGGCUGUGACCUGUGUCGACUCUCUAAUCUUACAUAUGAGGAGACCGAAGAGAGAGAAAUGUAGCAACUUUUUUCAUCACACUUAAAAAUAUUUAAAAAACAGAAUCCAAUUCAUUUCAGUUGUACUAUUCCAGGGGUUGACAAAAUUUUUUGUGAAGGGCAAACUAGGAUAUAUUAUGGGUUUAUGUUUGUUGAGACCACUCAACUCAGCAAUUGUAGUGAGAAGCAGACAUAGAUGAUAUACUAUAAACAAAUGGUCAUGACUAUGUCUCAAUAAAUGUUACU